rnacentral:lncRNA from 1 species
AGUUGCGGGGAUUUUUCAAGAAGCAGCAGCUACCCCGGCGUCGGUCACUGGGCCGGGGUAGGGGAAAGAGCAAAAUCCCAGUGGGUUUGCGCGAGGGAUCUUCUAGGGUCGAGGCGGGUGUGGGGGGAGUUGGAACCGGGAGACACCGCUUGGCGCAUCUCUCCCUCGGUCUCUACCUCCUGUCCUAUGCCAGCUCCCCCUUUAAUUUUUUUCCUCUCCUUUAAUCUAAUUUCUUCCAACUCCACCUUUGUUGUUACCGGCGUCACACCCGGACCAGCCAAUCCCCGCCACGCAAUCAGCUUGUCAAAAAGCCUCGGCCAUCCCUAGGAAAGCAGGCCGCAGGCGCUGCCCCCCGGCGGCGGCGGGCAGCCGCGAGGGGAGCCCAGCACCCGGUUCUCGCUGCCCCGGGUGGCAGCGGGGCAGCCUCCGACAAGACGUCCCUUGGUUCACUGUCCUGCAGGCCGGGGAUGAAAGGCCUGGACAGGGUCCACCACCCACUCUCCCACUGCCACGGCCGUGGUUGACUGUCUUUGCCUCCCCUUUUCAGAGGAAAGGUUAUCAGGACAGGACGCAGGGAGCCAGAAGACCAUCUGAAGGAAGCCUGCUUCCAACGGGCCCAGCCUCCAGCCACCGCUCCUGGGGCAGCGCCAUUGCUCCUGGCUCUCAGGCUGCCAGUCUCCCACACCGACGCUCUACUGCCCGCAUCUCGGCCAGCUGGGUCACCCAGCCCCUUUCGACUCUCCCCUGGCACGCAGCCUUCUCCUUCACUCGGCCUGCCUCGCUGCUGCUGUAAUUCCUCUUGUCUCCUGGGAGAAAUGAGAUUGCUUUCCCAGGACUUCCACAUCCCACUUCUAUCAGGUUUCACCAACAGGGAGGAAGCCCUGUCAAGAUCUGGUGUGUCCUGUUUUUUUUUUUUUUUUUUCCCAGAGGGCACUGGCAUGUAGGAGAAGCGGAUUUACCACUAGUAGAUGUUAAUGAAAUUUCAGCUUCUAGGCCCCUAACUUGCAGGACCUGCCCAAGGCCCUGAACUUAAUUUUGUUUUCAUCAUUUGGUAUUUUUUUGUUAAAAGAGCCACCGACCACCUCCCCGCUACCCCAGAACUGCACGUGUUUCUGGCCCUACAAACCCAGAUCGUCCCUUGGAAUAUACACAGGGCAAUUUGUGUAGGAUCACACUGCGCUAAAAGUGAGGCAUGGUGGGCUAGGCGCACUGGCUCACACCUGUAAUCCCAGCACUUUGGGAGACCAAGACAGGAGGUCUUAAGUGAUUAAGCCCAGGAGUUCGAGAUCAGCUUAGACAACAUAGCAAGAUGCUGCCUCUACAAACACACACACCCCCUAUUAUAAUAUGUCAAAAAAAAAAAAAAAAAAAGGAAAAGUGAGGCAUAGAACUGACUUUAUUGUUUUGACUAGGAAAGAGCAAAGGGUUUGGAAUCAAAAGUCCCAACUUCCCCACCUUCUUAAUAGUGUGUGAAUCUGAGUGCCUUAUUAACCUUCCCUGGUCCCAGUUUCGUAUCUGUAAAGUUAGAAUAGCAAUCCUGUUUAAUUUGCUUCUCUCACCAGGGAUCAGAAGGCCAAAUGAGAUGAUGUAUGUAAAAUUGUAAAGUCCUCCACAGAUGGCACUUGCCACAUUACAGAGAACUUGAGACCCCCCCCCACCAAUAACGUUCCAAAUCUUCCACAUGCAGAUCUGGAGUCCAGGUGUCCUGGCUCCUGGCCCUGAACUUUUUGGCUGGGCCAAGGGGCUUUUCGGUAAAGUGCUUUGGAAUAAAACAGGAUGAACAUGAAUCAUAAGAA